AUUAUAAUUUAAACUUAAAGACAAUGUGCUAUUAUAAGGAUUAAAUAAUUUAUCUAAUUGUUUUGUCAUGCAAUAACAAUGGAAGAUAAUUGAAAAAUAGCUAUAUUUGAAACAUUAAUUUUCUUUUUUUCAUUUGUAAAUCCGAACAUAUUGAUUUGCAUUUCUAUAGACACCCUUUAUUUUAUUUCUCUCUGUAUUUUAUUUCUCACGGUUAAUAUUCACAUAAUUAAUCAUUCAAAUUUUGCACAUGGCAAUUCUUCUUUAAAAGAAAAAUACAGCAAAUAUUUCGAUACUUUUAUUAAAACCGAAUUAAUUACGGUUAACAUAACCUAUAUAAUUUUCAAGUUCGUUAUUUAUAUUUUAUAGUACGUUUAAUCAAUGUUCCACAAUCAAUUAUUUCAUUAAUGUAAAAAUUUUGAUCAAAACGAAUCGUUUGUUGAAAAUUUUAACAAGAACAAGAUGUAAAAUUAAAAUCGAAUGAUUAAAGCAUAACAAGAAUCCAAUGAGAACCCCAUUAAAGUUUAGAUUAUCAAGGGUCAUUAGCUCGAUAACGAGGUAUCGGCUCAUUGGGAAUGUUUAUAGGAAUUCUGUCGUUCUUUAUCAUACACAUCGAUUAUGUACACUGCGUAACAUAAAUAUUGUUCGUAACGGAAAUUUAUAUCAGCCCCGAUAAGCAUAGUUAAUUUCACAUGUAUAGAAUUUACGUAGAAACUAAAUUUUCGGCAUCGAUUCAUCGCUCGUGCAUCCAGGUUAAUUAAGAGUUACUUGGGAUUUCGAUAAACGUCGACCGAGACUGAUUCAAGCGAUAAUUACCGUAGUUAGAAAACUUAUAAAUUACCAGUUCCUGAAACAACUUUCUCACGAAGAUUCCAGUUUCGACAAUGAGUGAAGAAAACGACCUCGUCUUCAAUCUAUUCUUCUCAUGAACGAACACUUAUCAGGCCGCUUAUCUACAUGCAUAGUCCGUAAUCUUUUCCUUAUACAACUUCCCUCUGUGUACACAUACUUGAGCUCCACCUCUCGCAUUGUCUAGCUGCUCAGUGUAACGUACAUAUGCCAGAAGAUGCGAUAUUCUCCAUUUCUCGCACGAAAGUAGUGCCACCAGUGGCGCUACAGCAAAAUAUACAUCUGUCCUUGUGUUAAAUGGUCUUCCCUCCACAUGCGUAUAAACGCAUACUCUGGUGAAUGCACGAAUUCGGAGGUUUCUGGACAAAGGGUGAGCAGAGAAGGGAGGUGUUACGCUUCGUCUGGUCCUCCGUGAGAUUGCACACCGUGACCAACAAACUACCACGGUUUACGGGAUAUAACUCGGGAGGAACGAGCUCGACAAGAGGGAAACGGAAAAUGCGGGAAAAUGGAGAUGGUCAGGAAAGAAUAGUGUAUGUGAGAACAGGGAAACGUACUGGUUCAAGAGGUACGUACAUAGUAUGUGUCACAAGUAUCGUGCUGGUAUCUUUUGAAUUUUCAAAAUAAACAAUGUUUUCAACAGAGAGAAGAGACACUCGUUCAACACUCUUAAUAACCAAAUUGAAAACCACAAGAUUUCUUUAGUAAAUUUUUCACUAAAAAUUUGGUUAGAAUUUAUAACCUCAAAAAUUUGUUUGACAAAAAACAUAUGGAUUUACUCGUACAAAUUCACAUUUUUAACGAGAAUAUAGAGAACUAAUGUACGUUUAGGAAACCACGAUUAUUAAACAUUCCAAUUAAAACGAAUCAAUAAGGUUAAUUGGUUCGCAUAAUUCUAACUGAAUAUGGCGCGCUACGAAAUGCGUGCGGUAAGUUAUCGUGGAAUGCAAUUUAUAUUUAGGUAGGUAACUUUACUGGAACUGGUGUAAUUCAUCUCCGUUGUAACUGUGAUAUCAGUGGUUGGCUUUUCGUUUGUCAUAUAAUAGUGGAAAGUGGAAAUCCAAGGAUUUAUGCUACAGAUGGACAUGUUGAUUGCAUCUUGUGGAAAUCUCACUUUCACUCUCAUCGAGAAGCAACGUGUUCUAACUGGCUCUUCGAGUCUGGCCUGGAAUUGUUGAUCACCUUCGUCGGUCACUGGAAGUAAUAAGUAAAUACGUGCGGUAUUUCGUACACAAAGCGAAGGUAUUCCGCCUCCAGUACAAGUUUAAGGACUUUACGUGGCAAACUCCUCGCAUCCAGAGAUGUUUAACCACGAUAAUCAUUAAACCGAGCGUGAAAUUGCAUAAUUUUCUGUGUACAUUACGAAAAUUACGAUUGGAAACGUGAUUGAAAAUGAUUGGCGAAUAACUAAAAGUUUUGAUAAAAAGAUCAGAUUUUAAUAAUUUAAAAAAAAAAAAGUUUUUGUGAUGGAUUGAUGCGAGAAAUUAAGCUUAUUGAUCCAUUUAUCUGAUCACAAUUUAUUAUUCAACUUGUUUGACCAAACGAUUAGCAAUAUAAUCUACGAUUAGCCGAACUAAUGGCUGACCUAUACCUCUUGUCUGGCCCAGCAAAUGCUAUUUAUCUGACCAAAUGAUCGAUAUAUUAUCGGCCUGACCAAAGGUUGACCUAUACUACUUGAUUGACCAAAUGAUUGAAGAUGCAAUAUUGGUUAAUAUCCAACUCUGAUUUAAAAAUAUAAAACUAGCGAGAAAUGGUUGACUUGUUCUACUUAUUCGGUUAUGCAAUUAAGGAUAUGAAAUUGGUUUAGCAAAUAGUUGACCUGUACUACUUGCUUGAAAGUGGCACAGAAUAUGAAAUUCAAUACAAAAUUAUACGAAAGAGAAUAUAUUGUAUGAUAUAUUAGCCGUUAUUGGGUAUGGAUUUAAAUCAAAUUUAGAGCAGAUAUUGACAUUUCAAAAGGAUAAUGAUUAUAAAAGUUGUGUCAUAAAAAAUGAAAAGAGGAAAAAUGGCGAUUCGUCACUUCAGCGAUUGAAAUCCGAUUGUACCGGCUAUCAUCGAAUAAAAAUUUGAUGAAAAAAAGUUAUUUCGUUAUUGAAAAUAUCGAUGAAUUAUGCUAGAAUAUAAAAUAAAAGUUAAUAUCUAUUUUAUAAGUCUAAAAGAAUUGACGAAAUGUGUGCUGAAAUGUUGUUAAUUAAUAUUGAAGUGUAACAUAUGUUCAAUAUUAUUGUGCAAAGUAAUUGUUAUAAAAAUUAUGAAAAUUCUCAAAUAUUACAAUAUUUGAUUAUUAUCUUGAAAGAAAAAGUAAUAGAAUAUAAUAAUAAAGAAUAAUAAAAAUAGAUACAUGUUACAUGUAAUGAUUCUUAUACUUGAAAGGAAUUGUUUCAGUCUACAAAAGGACCAAUAUUUGCCAGGCUUUGAGUUCGAUCGAAGAACGAUAAAACAUGUAUCAAAGCCCUUUUACAUGUAAAAUGUAAUGUAUCCAGUCUCCAUUAUUGCCUCAAAGCAAGUUGUACCAACAUUUUCUAUUUAUAUAUAUCUAUCUUCUGUUUUCUUUCUUAAACAUGGUGAAAAACAUUCAAAAAUUUCCAUUUGUAAACGUUAACUCUGACUGAUGUAGUUCUUACAAUCAUUUUAACUUUCAAUUACUUAAUAAGAUUGUGUGCCAUUCUAUUUUUGGGAUACGUUUUUAAGAGAGAAAACUUAUUUUAAAAAUAUAAUAAUUAAUCGGAAUAAUUACU